UACGGAGGGUGCGAGCGUUUGUCCGGAAUCACUGGGCGUAAAGGGCGCGUAGGCGGCGCGGAUAGUCGGCGGUGAAAGCCCGGAGCUCAACUCCGGGUCGGCCGUCGAUACUUCCGGGCUUGAGCACUGUAGAGGCAGAUGGAAUUCCGGGUGUAGCGGUGGAAUGCGUAGAGAUCCGGAAGAACACCGGUGGCGAAGGCGGUCUGCUGGGCAGUUGCUGACGCUGAUGACGCGACAGCGUGGGAGCAAACGAGGAU
rnacentral:rRNA from 1 species